rnacentral:rRNA from 1 species
AUUCAGCUGCGAGGGCUCGUUGGGAUCGCCGCCUCGACGUCUCGCCUAAGAGGUCGUCGGCGACGCGUUCGGAUUCUCGUUGCGCAUUUUCUCCCGUCCCGAGGACGCUGCAACCGGUCUGGUAUGGUAAACGACUCUCGGAUCGCGGGUGUCGGAAGGUGGUCGUCUGCCCGUCUCGACGGGCAGAGGGUGAUUAUAGCCUACCCGUCGUGGAGAAGUCGACAGACCGUGGUGACGCCGGCCCGAACGGGYAGUCGCGCCUCCUGUCGUGCGAGACGGACCGACGCAGGCGCGUCGUCCGAGGAGCGUCGCACGCUGCGAGGCGUGGACGCGUCUUCGAAGACCGCCGCUAGCGACGGCGUACUCGCGGGAGGCUCGCGGUUUGCAGCGCGACCGUCGGAUUCCCGUCCGACCCGUCUUGAAACACGGACCAAGGAGUCUAACAUGUGCGCGAGUCGGGGGGUCUCGAACAGGCCCAGAGGCGCAGAGAAAUCGACAAAGUCGGGAUCCCCGCGUCGUCGCGGGGCGCACCGACAGCCCGUCCCGACCGCUCGUCGGCGGAACGGAGCUAGAGCGCACACGUUGGGACCCGAAAGAUGGUGAUCUACGCCUGGACAGGACGAAGCCAGAGGAAACUCUGGUGGAGGUC